UACGAAGGGGGGCUAGCGUUGUUCGGAAUUACUGGGCGUAAAGCGCGCGCAGGCGGUUCUCCAAGUCAGUGGUGAAAGCCCGGAGCUCAACUCCGGAAUUGCCAUUGAAACUGUUGAACUCGAGGACGAGAGAGGUGAGUGGAAUUCCCAGUGUAGAGGUGAAAUUCGUAGAUAUCAGGAGGAACACCGGUGGUGUAGACGGCUAUCUGGACCGUAACUGACGCUGAGGCACGAAAGCGUGGGUAGCAAACAGG
rnacentral:rRNA from 1 species